rnacentral:piRNA from 1 species
UUUGCUGUUGUUCAUGUCGUG